CCACAAGCUACUGGGCAGAUGUGUGGACAGCUAUGAGCCAAACUUGGGACGUUUGGUUUUUAGCAGGUGGAGAGACCGUCUGGGCAGCAGAAACAAGACAACUAAUCAUAUUUAGAUACAAUCAAAUGUCCAAACCAUCUCUGAGUGAAUGACAUCAAGGAAACAGGAUCAAAAGAUCAUUAAUUAUAGACCGUUUCAUAGUUGGUUAUAUUUUUCAGGUCCUCCUGAUCAUUCUGUUCUCCUGGUUGUGAGGAUGUGCAGAGGCUGUAUUUGUCAGUGUUAAAAGACUUGUGCAGCUGUAUCCAGACAUACAAGCAGCCGACAAAGAGUUCUGGAGCAGGACAGACAGGGCAGCACGGUGGCGCAGAGGGUAGCACGUUUGCCUCACAGCAAGAAGGUCGCUGCUUCGAGCUUCGGCUGGGG